rnacentral:rRNA from 1 species
AUUGAACGCUGGCGGCAGGCCUAACACAUGCAAGUCGAGCGGCAGCGGGAAGUAGCUUGCUACUUUGCCGGCGAGCGGCGGACGGGUGAGUAAUGUCUGGGAAACUGCCUGAUGGAGGGGGAUAACUACUGGAAACGGUAGCUAAUACCGCAUGACCUCGCAAGAGCAAAGUGGGGGACCUUCGGGCCUCACGCCAUCGGAUGUGCCCAGAUGGGAUUAGCUAGUAGGUGAGGUAAUGGCUCACCUAGGCGACGAUCCCUAGCUGGUCUGAGAGGAUGACCAGCCACACUGGAACUGAGACACGGUCCAGACUCCUACGGGAGGCAGCAGUGGGGAAUAUUGCACAAUGGGCGCAAGCCUGAUGCAGCCAUGCCGAGUGUGUGAAGAAGCCCUUAGGGUUGUAAAGUUCUUUCGGUAUUGAGGAGGGUUGAUGUGUUAAUAGCACAUCAAAUUGACGUUAAAUACAGAAGAAGCUCCCGCUAAGUCCGUUCCAGCAGCCGCGGUAAUACGGAGGGUUCGAGCGUUAAUCGGAAUAACUGGGCGUAAAGGGCACGCAGGCGGUUAUUUAAGUGAGGUGUGAAAGCCCCGGUCUUAACCUGGGAAUUGCAUUUCAGACUGGGUAACUAGAGUACUUUAGGGAGGGGUUGAAUUCCCAUUGUAGCGUUUCCCACGUAGAGAUGUGGAGGAAUCCGGUAGCCGAAGGCAGCCCCUUGGGAAUGUAGUGACGGUCAUGUUUGCAAGUGUGGGGAGCAAACAGG